ensembl:lncRNA
CUGGAGCUUGGGCUAAGGAAUCUCCAGGCUUGGCCUGUGGACCUCAAGGUCCUUGAGGAGCCCCCUUAAACAACCAGGUGUUCCAACAAGAGGGACUUUGUAGAACCACCAGAAUGACUGCUGUAAGGGCUCAAGAAAACAUAUAUCACAGCCAGUGUCAGCCAGAACCAACAGUGCCUGUUUGCCCGUCUGGACCAACUUGGAGCAACGCCCAGGUCAAAGUGCAUUAGCCUACGGCCAUGCUAAUCCUCCCUCAACACUACCACCACCCUUGAUCCCAACCCCUCCAUCGCACACAGGGACUGAGGGAAGCCAUCAGUAGCGAUGCCUGGUCGACCACAGAGUGAGCAUGUUCUCUUCACGCAUGAUUAACGCUGUUGAGAACGGGGGAUAGACCACCUCAAAGAGAGAACUGCCCCAACUUCAAAGUCUCGCCACUGAGAAAGAGAGUCUGUCCCCUGUGUGUGCAACCCCCUUGCACGCACGUACACACGCGCUUAAAACUCAUGGCCUCAACUACCUUUGUAAAUAUACACACUCGUACAAGGAAAUCUAAAGAGUGCUUGAGGGGUGUUAACUGGACUUAUUGGUGAAUGAUUGACUGGUUGUGAUGGUGUGCAACCCUGCGCUCUCUUUUUUUUAGCAACUUUAUGGACUAUCUGAACUUUACUUUGCGAUCGAAUAUUCUGCUUGCACAACAGGAUUUGACUGAUGUGUGAUUUUGCAGAGCUACAGGUGAAUCCUGCUACUGAAUUUGAGUAAUAACGCAAACAAAUUUCACAGCGCUUUAA